AGGACGAACGCUGGCGGCGCGCUUAACGACAUGCAAGUCGAGCGAGAACCAGGCCUUCGGGCCUGGGGAAAGCGGCGAACGGGUGAGUAACACGUGGGUAACCCACCCUUGGUACCGGGAUAGCCCGAGGAAACUCGGAUUAAUACCGGAUGGCCCAACAGCUCCUCGGAGCGGUUGGAAAAGGUAGCUUCGGCCUCCGACCAAGGACGGGCCCGCGGUGGAUUAGCUUGUUGGUGAGGUAACGGCUCACCAAGGCUUCGAUCCAUAGCUGGUCUGAGAGGACGAUCAGCCACACUGGGACUGAGACACGGCCCAGACUCCUACGGGAGGCAGCAGUGGGGAAUCUUGCGCAAUGGGCGAAAGCCUGACGCAGCGACGCCGCGUGGGGGAAGAAGGCUUUCGGGUUGUAAACCCCUUUCAGGAAGGACGAAGCCACUCGGGUUAAUAGCCCAGAGGUGACGGUACUUCCAGAAGAAGCCCGGCUAACUACGCGCCAGCAGCCGC
rnacentral:rRNA from 1 species